CCCGCUGCCGCCUCCAUUGCCUCGCGGGGGCGGGGUGGGGGACCCGCGCCGGGGAUCCCCGCGGCGGGCUCCGGACAGCGGCCUCCGCGUGGGACUCGUGCAUUUCGGGCUUCGGGCCGUCCAGGGUUCCGGCCUCAGGAGUAAAGGAGCCAAUGUCUGGGUGCAGAGCAGCGGCCAACCCACAACGGGUCUGGCCUCCUGGGUGCCGGGCGUGACCUGGGCCGGAGGCAGGCGGAGCGUGCAGCUUAGAGGAGCAGUCAGGCCCGCAGCGUCGUGCGGCUUCGGCCCCUAACGGUGCAGCGGCCGCCUUGCUGUGAAAAUGCCCUUUUGUGUUGUGAUUACUUGCCAGCCCUCUCCACCCACUUUGUUUUCCUGGAGAUUUUCUGGGACAGUCCUUGGAGGAGGCCGUUUUUUCCAUCCUUAACCUGUGAUCCAGGGACCCAGAAUUGGGGAGGUCCAGGAGCUGAGAUGAGAAAAAAAAUCGCAUCUUUAUUUUCGCUAACCUCUAACUGAAACUUGGUUUGGUAUAUCCUUCAAUUAUGAAUGGAGGCAACAAAAUCCAGUAGAAUUAGCUGUACCUGUGACUGUCAUGACAGAAGACACAGGAAUUUUCA